UGCUGCAGUUACAGCGACUCCACUCACUGUCCUUCGGGGGAAACCGUCUCAAACACAUCCCUCCUGAUAUAGACAGUCUGACCAGAUGUUUUUCAUCAGGACGUCUGCAGAUUGCUUUAUUGAUUUAUGAAGUAGGAGUCACAGAGUUCAGGAUCCUGAUGUGUGGGAAGAAGUCGGUUUGAUUACGAAACAACACAACAUUCACAACUGAUACAGUACUCCGUCUGAGAGUCGACUUUACUCACACACUGUGGGGAAGACGAAGAUGCAGGAAAGUCUCUCUCUUUCUCUUUCUCUCUCUCUCUCUCUCUCUCUCUCUCUCUCUCUCUCUCUCUCACUCUCUCACUCAUCCUCUGACCUCUUUGCUCUGAUCCUCUGACCUCUUAGAAAAUACAGGAAACAUCCAGGAAAAAAAAGGUUUCAGAUGAACGAUUCAGGUUUAUGUUUCCUGUAAAAGUACGACAUUGAGAGAGCUUGUGUUCACUUUGGGGGUCUCAAAUAGACAAAUACACUGUUUACUUUGGCUGUUCUGAGACAGGAAGCAUCAAGUUAUGUCAAAAUCAUUAUGUUUGAAUACGAUUCCUUCAUCAGGCUGAUCCUUGACUAAUCCUACUAAUAAAACUAUUAGUCCUACUAAUCUUAAUUUUAUUAUUAUUAUUUUUUAACUGAUAAAUGUCCAUCAUAAAUGUCCAUAAAUGUAAUUAUUUUAAUUAUAUAUAAAUAUAAAAUUCUAUUUGUGUUUAUUUCACAGAAUGUCUUGAAAAAAAUUUGAAUGCAUGAAUGAAAUAUUUUAUUAAUUAAAAAUAAUGAACUAAUAAACCAAUAAUAACCUUUGCUUGGUGCAUAAAUAAAUACGUUUCCCAAAAUGUAACAUACAGUAAUGAGCUCUGUAGCUGUGCUUAAUGUGUCUUGUUAACUAUUAAUAGAUCUCCAAGUCAGCUAAAAGUCAUUAUUUCUGUGGCCUCUGGUCUUGUGUGAAAGCUACUGAGGAAUUCUUUUUAACCAUUACAAUGUGGUCAUGUGACUGUAUAUCACGUGUUCUGGGGCUACUGGGAUCCACAAGCGCAGAUCUCUCAGGCUCUUUAAAGAAAGAAAGAGCGUGAUCACGUGACCCGGUUGUGUAUAUCGGGACCUCUAUUGUUUAAGCAGCACAACAUUUUUAGCACUGAAAAAAAUCUCUGAUGCAAAGUGUGCUGGGGGAAAAAAAAAGAAAUCACCCUCUCAGCACUCUGCAGGAUGUGAAGUAUGUGCUGAGAGUAAAUCCAAAUCAGUCCAGCUGAUUAGACAAGAACACACGUUGAUAAUGCAAAAAUUACUUUAAACCGUUUUUUGUUUUUUUUUAACCAGUAUCACAACAUGCUCUCUGGUAAUUAGUUGAAAAUGCCUGACCUUUAUUUAUUUACAAUAUAUUAAUAUUUAUUUUAAAUUAUAUAUAUAUUAUAUUAUAUUUUUAUAUUUAUAAUUUACUUGACUGAAAUUGAAACCUUUACAUUUUUUUCAUGCAUUUUUUUUAUUCUAUAUGCAUUAUCAUUUUAAGUCCCAGCACUAAGUUUCUCUAGAAUAAAAGUUUUAUUCAGUUGUAUUUUAUGUUGCAUUUAUUUUCUUCAUUAUUAUAUUAGUGUUAAAGCAGCCUUUUCAAUUACACACACAGUAUUUAUAUAUAUUUAUAUAUUUAUGUAUUUAUAAACAGCCUUUUAAGUUACACACACAAUCUUUAUAUACUGCUUUUACAGUAUAUAUUAUAAUAUGGAUAUUAUCCAUUAUGGCUAUUUUUUAAUGUGAAGCUUGUAGGGGGUGUUUACUUUUGCGCAUUCGGUAGUGCGCCCUCUGUUGGCAGUGGUGUGCAUUGCUUGUAUGUUUGUUAUGUAUGGUUUGCAUGAAUUUUGUAUAGUAGUAGUGUUUUUCAGUCAAGUAAAUAUAUCUGUAUAUAGAAGUGUCAACUUUACUCUUUUAGUAAAUAUUCAAGUUUAAGUGUGUUUUGGCAGAACACACCGCACUACACACACACACUCUCAUAUCCCUGUGGUCCAAAUUACACCCUGGGUCAGUCCAUUAGAGAAACGUGUGUGUGUGUGUGUGUGUGUGGACUUGGCUCGGUGGCCUCUGCAGGAGAAUGUGUCAUUGAAUGCCUGUGUUAAGGGAGACAAACACUGCAGGUUUGGGAGAGUAAAGAAAACGGAAUGGCUCACACACACACACACACACACACACACACACACACACACACACACACCCUCUCUCUCUCUCUCUCUCUC